ensembl:snoRNA SNORD97 small nucleolar RNA, C/D box 97
UUGCCCAAUGAUUAUAAAAAGACGCGUUAUAAAGAGGACUUAUGCUGGAGUUUUUUACAUUUUUCUCUCUUUCCUAUACUACUAUUUUCUUUCUUUAAAUAGUCCAGCGUCCUAUGAGCGAAGAUUAUGAGAUAUGAGGGCAA